CCUACGGGAGGCAGCAGUGAGGAAUAUUGGUCAAUGGACGAGAGUCUGAACCAGCCAAGUAGCGUGAAGGAUGACUGCCCUAUGGGUUGUAAACUUCUUUUAUAUGGGAAUAAAAUGUUCCACGUGUGGGAUUUUGUAUGUACCAUAUGAAUAAGGAUCGGCUAACUCCGUGCCAGCAGCCGCGGUAAUACGGAGGAUCCGAGCGUUAUCCGGAUUUAUUGGGUUUAAAGGGAGCGUAGGUGGAUUGUUAAGUCAGUUGUGAAAGUUUGCGGCUCAACCGUAAAAUUGCAGUUGAAACUGGCAGUCUUGAGUACAGUAGAGGUGGGCGGAAUUCGUGGUGUAGCGGUGAAAUGCUUAGAUAUCACGAAGAACCCCGAUUGCGAAGGCAGUUCACUGGACUGUAACUGACACUGAGGCUCGAAAGUGUGGGUAUCAAACAGGAUUAGAUACCCUUGUAGUC
rnacentral:rRNA from 1 species